GCUAUAUCCUAGUGGUUAUGGCAACGGACUCAUGGUCGGUGGUUUUCGUUAAGUCUUGAGUUCGAGCCUUGAUGUCACUA